AGUCCCUUCCCACCCCUCUUGCUUGUCUUACUUGUCUUAUUUAUUCUCCAACAGCACUCCAGGCAGCCCUUGUCCACGGGCUCUCCUUGCAUCAGCCAAGCUUCUUGAAAGGCCUGUCUACACUUGCUGUCUUCCUUCCUCACCUCCAAUUUCCUCUUCAACCCACUGCUUCCUGACUCGCUCUACUCCGUGGAAGCACGCUCACAAAGGUAAAGACUUUUCUGUGGCUUAAUCCUUGUCAUGUUUUCGGCUCAUGGACACAAGGACACAUUUUCAUGCCUUCUCUCACAGGGCUCUGCGUCUCCGGUUCACUUCUGUGUCUUUACACUCCCUUCACAGAGACACUUGCUCCCCCUUCUCUCGUUCUUAGCAUCCCCUAGGAACUUGCACACCCAGGUCUCUCGACUUCUGGACCUGCUUCUUACCAUGCCGUCUUAAGCAGUCAGGAGUCGCUGCCUGGGUUCGAGUCCUAGUUAAAUUACUUAGUGCUGAGACCUUGGGGUAGGUAAACUUUUCCAAGCCAGGUUUAUCUCAGUUUCAAAAUAGGGUUAAUCGUCUUUAUCUGGCAGGUCAGGUGGGAUGUCUCACAGGUAAGCACCAGAUGCCAUUUGAAAGGCUUGAAGCAAAGUCAAUAAAGCAUUCAUGGGAAAAUACAACUGGAGGCACCACUAGAUUUUCGUAUACAUUAGGUUCCCACGGGGAGGACCGAAGAGAGAAGAAAGAAGUGGAAAGGGAGGAGCGUGCAGGAGAGACAGGAGAAGAGAAUAACUAAACAAAGACAUUAAAGACAAAAAAAAAGUAGGAAAGGGAGACUUAGAAAAUAUUAAAAGCCACCAAAAACACAUCCAAAGACGGUUUCCCCUUACGUUAGUUGGGCUAAAAGAAAGCAAAUGGGAAGAAGGUUUUAAAUUGAUUAUCCCAGUGACAAAUCCCAGGAAGCUUUCACAUCAAAUCACCCUAUUCUGGGUUUUUAACUCCUUCCAUCGAGUUUAACCUCUUUACCUCCCACAUCCUGGUAAACCCUGCCCCCUCCCUACCGCCCCCUUUGCUGGUGAUUAAAUCCUGAAGGUACACGAAGUAUUUCAGUGAAUGAAUGGCUAACAGAAAAGGGCCUCCCCUCCCCCUUACCCUGGCGGUGUUUUUCAGUUUUAUUCCACUUUCCGCCCUUUUCCCUUAAUGAACACAGGGCUAAUCUCGGGCCUUGUCGAAGGAAGAGGCUGCAGACGUUAAUGAGGUUAGCUGCUGGAUUCCAGUAUUCGUCGCAUAAGGAUCCUUCUUUGUCUGCGAAGGAAAAACACACUGAUUAUCAUAAUGAGGCACGUGGGCCGUGGCCCGGCUGGGUCGGCUGAAGAACUGCGGAUGGAAGCUGCGGAAGAGGCCCUGAUGGGGCCCACCAUCCCGGACCCAAGUCUUCUUCCUGGCGGGCCUCUCGUCUCCUUCCUGGUUUGGGCGGAAGCCAUCACCUGGAUGCCUACGUGGGAAGGGACCUCGAAUGUGGGACCCCAGCCCCUCUCCAGCUCGAAAUCCCUCCACAGCCACGGGGACACCCUGCACCUAUUCCCACGGGACAGGCUGGACCCAGAGACUCUGGACCCGGGGCCUCCCCUUGAGUAGAGACCCGCCCUCUGACUGAUGGACGCCGCUGACCUGGGGUCAGACCCGUGGGCUGGACCCCUGCCCACCCCGCAGGAACCCUGAGGCCUAGGGGAGCUGUUGAGCCUUCAGUGUCUGCAUGUGGGAAGUGGGCUCCUUCACCUACCUCACAGGGCUGUUGUGAGGGGCGCUGUGAUGCGGUUCCAAAGCACAGGGCUUGGCGCACCCCACUGUGCUCUCAAUAAAUGUGUUUCCUGUCUUAACAAAAACUG
rnacentral:lncRNA from 1 species